CCAUGUCCCACCCUCCCUGUUCACCCAAUCUUGCCCCAAGCAACUUUUAUGUUUCCUUGAAUGAAAAAGGUCCUCAAAGGGAAACAUUUUGCUGACAUGGAAGAGAGGAGAUAUAAAAUGGCAGAAGC